rnacentral:rRNA from 1 species
CCUACGGGUGGCAGCAGUCGAGAAUCAUUCACAAUGGGGGAAACCCUGAUGGUGCGACGCCGCGUGGGGGAAUGAAGGUCUUCGGAUUGUAAACCCCUGUCAUGUGGGAGCAAAUUAAAAAGAUAGUACCACAAGAGGAAGAGACGGCUAACUCUGUGCCAGCAGCCGCGGUAAUACAGAGGUCUCAAGCGUUGUUCGGAAUCACUGGGCGUAAAGCGAGCGUAGGCUGUUUCGUAAGUCGUGUGUGAAAGGCGCGGGCUCAACCCGCGGACGGCACAUGAUACUGCGAGACUAGAGUAGUGGAGGGGGAACCGGAAUUCGCGGUGUAGCAGUGAAAUGCGUAGAUAUCGAGAGGAACACUCGUGGCGAAGGCGGGUUCCUGGACAUUAACUGACGCUGAGGCACGAAGGCCAGGGGAGCGAAAGGGAUUAGAUACCCUAGUAGUC